rnacentral:rRNA from 1 species
GAUGAACGCUGGCGGCGUGCCUAAUACAUGCAAGUCGAGCGAACAGACGAGGAGCUUGCUCCUCUGACGUUAGCGGCGGACGGGUGAGUAACACGUGGAUAACCUACCUAUAAGACUGGGAUAACUUCGGGAAACCGGAGCUAAUACCGGAUCAUAUAUUGAACCGCAUGGUUCAAUAGUGAAAGACGGUUUUGCUGUCACUUAUAGAUGGUUCCGCGCCGCAUUAGCUAGUUGGUAAGGUAACGGCUUACCAAGGCAACGAUGCGUAGCCGACCUGAGAGGGUGAUCAGCCACACUGGAACUGAGACACGGUCCAGACUCCUACGGGAGGCAGCAGUGGGGAAUCUUCCGCAAUGGGCGAAAGCCUGACGGAGCAACGCCGCGUGAGUGAUGAAGGUCUUCGGAUCGUAAAACUCUGUUAUUAGGGAAGAACAAAUGUAUAAGUAACUAUGCACGUCUUGACGGUACCUAAUCAGAAAGCCACGGCUAACUACGUG